UUGGCUGCUGUUUUCAUCUUCUUCGUUUCAGUCACGCGAGGAGCAUCAGCUCCCUGUCAACAUCAGCCUCUCAACCACUCCCCUCUCCCCUCAUGUUUUCUCCACCUCAGCUUCAGAUCAAACCCUAGCUGCCCCCUCCUCCCUCGCGCCGCCACUCCCUCCUCUUUCCCCAACUUUUCUCCUUCUCUGUGAGCCAACCAUGGAAGAAGCCCGCGCAGACCACCAUGGCGCCGUCGAUUCAAAGCGCCCUGCACCAUCCUGAGGGCACCAGCGAGUGCGCCUCAUCGCCCUCUUCCUCAUGUUGCAAAGAAUCGAGCCGGGGGCGCUCCAAUUCAUCGCCACGGCCUCCUUCUCCAUCUUCGGCGCUGGGGAAAGUCACUGGUUUUCGGCCCGCCUCCGACCUCGUCCGCCCCGCCAAGGUGUUCUUCAUCUUCCUGGUGAGAUGGCUCCCCUUUUCCCUCUUUUCCCCGUCCUGUUUGCUCGCUGUUUGGCGUCGCCAAAUUCUGACGGUACUGUCGCCCUUUUUCUGUCCGAGAUAUGCCGCCGGAGUUCUCUGUCCUUGCCGUCACCAUGGGCCUCGCUGCGCCAUGCUAGCACCGUCUCCUUCGACCCAUACGACAAAAGCAGCAACCUCUCGCAUUUGCUUCUUCCCGGAUAGGAUCACGAAGUGGUGUGGUGAGAUACGACAAGUUCUCCGGAUGUUCAUCGGCAAGCUUUAACAGGCAAGCAUUUCCCCUAUACUCCUGCCCCUGCAGAAGUCGCUUACCUAUUUUAUUUUGCCUUCUCCCUUAUGCUAUCCUUGAGUUGCGUUCUUGUCACGUGUCCCUUCCACUUGUUACCUCAAGCAGCCUAUAUUGCCUCCACCAACCACCUACAGCUAUUGUUUGGUUACCGGGUCUGCCUUGCGAGUCGUAGUGCAUGCUAGUGCUGUUUAUAUCCCGUUACCGUUACUGCUAUCUUAUCGGGUUAUUUGUUGGGGAACAUGACACAUGGUUUAUGGUUAUAUCUGUUGAAAGUAUCAUGGUUACUUGUUAAUAGUUGUUAGCGGAGGCAUCGGUGGGUCAGUUGCUCGUUUUAUGACGGCUCACUUGUGUUUCCUAAAUAUCUUAGGACCCCGAGUUCUUGUUAUCUGUUCCGAGACUGAGCGCUCUAACCACACGUGGGUAUGUUUCUGGGUCUCCCCUCGACCACUGCCGGAAUCUACAGCUUUGUCCAGUGGCCACAACUAGUUUCGUAAUGUUUUACCAUUUGUUGUUUGCGUGCAUGCCAGCCUGUUACUUAUUUACUUUGGGAAGCCCCUGGGUGCCUUGUAUCCCUUGUUUCUGGUAUGCACGUAUAGGUUUGCGGCCUGAGCGUUUAUCGCAUGCUGAAGCGGGUCAUUCGCCCCUGUGUGUGUUCUGACCCUCGGAAGCCGUGCACGCAAUAGCUAGGUCCGUUUCGGAGAUACGGCCGAACUUCGAUUCGGGUUUAACUUGGUUAGGUGGCUUCCUGGACAUUGUUGUCGUGAAGGAGAGUGCGAGUCGUUAUAUCCACCUGUCGCAAGUGGAUUGAUCGUGCGUGUGGGCACAUUUGGGCACCCCUGCAGGGUUACAAUCUUAUCGAUAAGCCGCGUCCGCGGUUAUGGACGACUUGGAGCUGUAUGACUCGACCAUAGACAACUUACACCUGUUGUUUUAAUCAUAAUAACUUGUGUAGUAAGUUAGCACAACUUUAAUAAUAAAUGGUUAAAACUUGAUAACCGUGUGAGUGCCUUUGUAAGUACUUCUUUGCGAAGGGGGAAAGUAUCGGCCGUGUUAUGUUUGCAGAGUAUAGAACUGUUAGUUUUUGCGCUCUCUCAUCUCCUCUGAUUAGACAAAUGUUGUAGAGUGUCUCUAUAGGUUUUUAGUGCUUGCGCUGCCGCUUAACUCCACCAUAUUGCCUAUGACGUUCCUCUUGCGUCCUCUAAGUCCCCUGCGUGCCUCAAGUACAAAGGACGACUGGUUGACGAAUGCUUAUACGUCUUGAAGUCUUGUUAAGUACGAACCCGUACUUAUUGCUGCUUCUACGGGAUAUAACCGGGCAGGUAUGAAGAUAUGUUCGAAGAAGGCGACGCUAGCAAGGUUACCCUUCCGGCUUGGCCUGGGCAGGGUUAUGGACGCCACUUGUUUAUCUUCAGGACUCUUAGUCCAAAUUUGUAUCUUGUCCGUACUCGGACGUAUUUGAUCUUUUGUAUGAUUUGGAUCUUUGUAUUGUAUAUUUGUAUCUUGA